rnacentral:rRNA from 1 species
AGNCAGCAGUGGGGAAUAUUGGCCAAUGGGCGCAAGCCUGAUCCAGCCAUGCCGCGUGUGUGAAGAAGGCCCUCGGGUUGUAAAGCACUUUAAGCGAGGAGGAAGGUCAUCAUACUAAUAUUAUGAUGAAUUGACGUUACUCGCAGAAUAAGCACCGGCUAACUCCGUGCCAGCAGCCGCGGUAAUACGGAGGGUGCAAGCGUUAAUCGGAAUUACUGGGCGUAAAGCGUGCGUAGGCGGCUCUUUAAGUCCAGAUGUGAAAUCCCCCGGGCUACAACCUGGGAACUGCAUCUGAUAUCUGGGGAGCUAGAAUGUGGGAGAGGGAAGUGGAAUUUNCCGGUGUAGCGGUGAAAUGCAUAGAGAUCGGAAGGAACAUCAGUGGCGAAGGCGACUUGCCUGGACCAACAUUGACGCUGAGGCACGAAAGCGUGGGUAGCAAACAGGAUUAGAUACCCCUGGUAGUCCACGCCGUAAACGAUGUCAACUAGCCGUCGGCUCCAACUAAGGGGUCGGUGGUGCAGCUAACGCAUUAAGUUGACCGCCUGGGGAGUACGCGCGCAAGCGUAAAACUCAAAUGAAUNGACGGGGUA